rnacentral:rRNA from 1 species
GACGAACGCUGGCGGCGUGCUUAACACAUGCAAGUCGAACGGAGUGGCGAACGGGUGAGUAACACUUGGGUGACCUGCCCUGCACUUCGGGAUCAGCCUGGGAAACUGGGUCUAAUACCGGAUAGAGUUGGAUGGGCCCGCGGGCUAUCAGCUUGUUGGUGGGGUAAUGGCCUACCAAGGCGGCGACGGGUAGCCGGCCUGAGAGGGUGGACGGCCACAUUGGGACUGGAACACUGCCCAGACACCUACGGGAGGAAGGGGGGGGGAAUAUUGCACAAUGAGCGGACGACUGAGGCAGCGAGGCUGCGUGGGGGGUGAUGGCAUUCGGGUUGUAAACUCAUUUCACCAUCGACGCGGUAGAUGGAGAAGAAGCACCGGCUAACUACGUGACAGCUGCCGCGGUAAUAC